CAGAGACCGGAAGAUUUCUGUGGACCCUGGGACCGCUGACGUCUCGCCGGCUACGCCUGCGCUUCUCUUUGAGCCGCGCUUCGGGUUUCUUCACCUGUAAGGUGAAGAUAAGCCAUAUCUGUAUUGUGGGAUUAUUGUGAUGAUUGAGGUGACAGGAGUGUGCAUGGCAUGGACAGUUGCUCAAUGAAUGUGUAUUAUCUUCCUGUGAAGAGCCGUAAGUAUGUCUGACAAGAGCCAGAUAGCUGCCAGAGCUUCCCUUAUUGAGCAACUGAUGUCUAAAAGGAAUUUUGAAGAUCUUGGCAACCACCUUACUGAGCUCGAAACGAUUUAUGUGACUAAGGAGCAUCUCCAGGAGACAGAUGUGGUCAGAACUGUGUACGGAGUCCUCAAAAACUGCCCAUCAGUGGCUUUGAAAAAGAAAGCCAAGUGUUUGUUGUCAAAGUGGAAAGCUCUUUAUAAAGAUGCUCCCUUCAAACCAAGGAACAGCCCUAAAUUAUUCCCUACCAGUGGUAGUAAAGAAGAAAAUUCAGGACUUUCUUAUGAUGACCCAAGUCAGGAUGAGAUACUGGGUGCCUGCAAUUCUAAUUCUGUGCCAUCAUCCCAAGAGGUUGCAAAACUCAGUAAAAUCAUUUUGCCUGAAAAUAGUGUUAUUCAAGUGGAACCUAAGGAAGAGCAUUUUGGGGGUAGUGACCUUAAAUCCACUGGCAAAGGAUCAAGUGAAUUGCUGGAUCCCACAACACCCAUGAGAACUAAAUGCAUGGAGCUUCUUUAUGCAGCUUUAACUAGUUCUUCCACAGACCAGACCAAAGCUGAUGUGUGGCAGAACUUUGCAAGAGAAAUCGAAGAACAUGUUUUUACCCUUUAUUCAAAGAACAUCAAAAAAUAUAAAACUUGUAUCAGAAGCAAAGUUGCCAAUUUGAAGAACCCCAGAAAUUCUCAUUUACAACAAAACUUGCUCUCUGGGACCAUGUCUCCAAGAGAGUUUGCUGAAAUGACUGUCAUGGAGAUGGCAAACAAGGAGCUGAAGCAGUUGAGAGCUUCCUACACGGAAUCUUGUAUCCAGGAGCAUUAUCUUCCCCAAGCGAUGGAUGGCACACAGACAAACAAAAUAAAAUGCAAGCGCUGUGAGAAAUACAAUUGCAAGGUCACUGUAAUUGCCAGAGGAACACUUUUUCUUCCAAGUUGGGUCUAAGAAAAGAGUGCCAUUCUGGACACUUCACAGAGAUGGAGUGACCUGCCCAAGCUACACAACGAAACAGCAAGUGCAAAGGCCCUGAGAUCAGAGAGUGCUCGGCAUAGCCAAGGUACAGCAAGAGUCUACCACAGCUGAGGUGCACUAAGCAAGGGGGAGAAAGAUAAAACAUUGGAUACAAUUGCAGCUCUGUCUCUUCCCUGAGCACUUCCUGUGAUGAGAAGCUCCUUUCAUUCCCUGUUGCCAUUUCUCAAUACCAGCCAGGAAGCCUGCAGCUGGCAGUGGGCCACGGUCUUGGCAAGGGCUAGGCCUUCAUCUUCUAGAUGGACUUUUGUCCCCCAGCUUUGUGAAAUCUCACAAACUGCUGAGCAGAAAGCUUCCAAUUUAGUGGAUGUCUACGAGCAUUUAAAAAUGAGACAGCAGCUCAAGGGCACAGGGUGAUAAAAAUGUUCUAAAAUUGAUGGUAGUGAUGGAUGCACAUCUUUAUGAAUGUGUGAAACACCACUGAAUUGUACGCUUUAAAUGGGUGAAUUGUCUGGUACGUGAAUAAAGCUGUUACCAGAAAAUUGUAUGAACUUAUAAAGGAAAAAUAAAAUCUCGGGAUCCCCCAAACCCUAAUGCCAUAAGGGAGACUGAGCCUGAGAACUGAAUCCCACAGCACUGCCAUCCUAUCGCCAAAACAAAUAGCUGUGAUUUAUGCGGAAGUCAGGUUCCCAUCACGACAAAGGUCCUUUGCCUGUCCAGAUGGCUCUCCUCACAGAUUGCUUACAGGAAUUGCCUAGUUAGCCCUAAACCUUUCAGGGUAUAUGGCCCUUAUAAAACAUGCACAUGACAAUUACAACCUUAGAGCUACAACCUAAAUAAAUCCUUGAUCCUGAGUUCUGUGAAGUUUCACACUGAGAUGUCAAUUGCAAGUUUGUCUCCACAGAUGUGAACCAAAGACACAUGAGAUCAGCCACUCCUCUGCCCACUCUGAAGAAGACUACAUAACUCAUUCUCUUUCCCCUACUCCCUUUUGGAAUGUUCACCUUAUCUUAUGUAAAAUGUAGACUUACUGAGCACUAAUUAAAGCCUCACAAGAAUGUAACCCCGUUUGCCUCACUGCCUACCCCUCCCAUCUCCUUUCUCUUCUGUACAGCCUUCUCCUUUGUAUACCCUGUUUCCAAAUCCCUAGAGGAGAGCCCAGGCCACAGAUACAUUUGUGACCUGUGCUUAUCCCCGGUGUGUCCUUAGACUUUGGCUUAAUAAACCUCCUUUGAGCAUGACUCACCAUUUCCAUCACUCAUUAUUUAAGUUAUCGAACUGAGGGAGGCAAUUGGAGACAGGAUCUCUAGUGGUUAUAUAUCCCAAUGAGUCAUUCUGAAUCUUUAGUGUUCCAAUUUACUCAUACAUGUAAUGGCAGUCUUCCUCAAAGGGGGCUUUCAGGAGGCCACAGCCAGAUCACCAACAGAUAAAGAGGGAGUCUCCCAGUGCCUUUGAAGCUGUCGUUGCGGUUUUGUUUAGAACCUGCAUUCACACAGCUCACAGGGCUAAGCAGGGAUCCCAAAUCAUUGUUCCUCAUGUUUCUUCCCCAUUUCUGAAGCCGCAGAUCUGAGCUGAACUAUCAAUGAUAUUAAACCUAGAGGAAAAUAGAAAAUCCUCUAGAAUCAAGCCCAAGCAGUUGACAUUUAUGUUCCUGGUUAGCUCUAUAAUCAGAAAAGAAUUGUUGUAAUAACUGCAGAUGAAAUCACCCUAUACACUAUUACUCCUCAUAGUGAGGCCCUCAAGUCAGCAGUGUCAGCAUCACCUGGGAGCAAAUAUAGAAACAUGGGCCCCACCCCAGAUCUUUUGAAUCCGAAUCUACAUUUUCACAAAGUUCUCAGUGAUUCUUGUGCAUAUUAACAUUUCAGAAAUGCUGUCCUGUCCACAGCAGCUGGGCCUGUGAGGAAAUGCCCAAGUGCUUAGCUAACAUCUGUCUCUCCACUUGUAUCAGUCACCAAUGACCUCCGCCCUCCACAUCGCUAAAUUCAGGAAACAGUUCUCAGCCUCAAAACCUAUCUGCAGCAUUUGACAUGCUUGCUUCCUUCUUGAGAACACUUUUCCAUGUGGCUCACAGCGGGUUGCAAUCACCCUGGUUUUCCCUCUCACUGGCCACUCUGUCUCAGCAUUAUUUGCUGGGUCCUCUUUACUUUCCUGACCUUUUAACUGUGGAGUGUUCCACAAUGUAGUCCUUGGACCCCAUGUAUCUACACUGGCUCUUUCGGUGAUCUCUAGUUCCAUGGCUUUCUACACCAUCUAUAUGCCAAUGACUCCCCUCUGUUUAUCUUGAGACUUACAUCUCUCCUCUGAAUUCCAGACCCAGAAAUCUAAUGGCCAACUUGAAAACUCUACUUGGAUGUCUAAUGAGCAUCUCAAAUUUAACAUGUUUAAAAUCAAACUCCCAAUCUUCUCUCCAACACCUGCUUCUCCACUUAAUGGGAACUGCAUAUUUGUGUACAUUGAGUAAAAACCUUGGAGUCAUCAUUGAGUCCUCUCUUUCACAUCACCUUUCCAAUCAAUCAGCAAAUCUUAUCGUCUGUAUUUGAAAUAUAUUUCCAAAAGUCCAAUUUAAAAAUGGGCAAAAGAUUCGAUUAGGCACUUCACCAAAGAUCAAAGAAGCCACAGAAAUGGCCAACAUGCAUAUGAAAAAAUGCUCAACAUGGUUAGUCCUUAGAGAAAUACAAAUCAAAAUCACCGUGAUCACUAUUGGAACUAAUCGAACAACACUUAUGUGCAUAUAUGGAAAUAAAACUCAUCGAAAAUCAAGCAGGUAGUAGAGAAGAGGAGGGUAUGAGUAAAUUCACACCUAACAGGUAAAAUGCACACUAUCUGGGUGAUGGGCACACUUAAA